rnacentral:rRNA from 1 species
AUUGAACGCUGGCGGCAUGCUUUACACAUGCAAGUCGAACGGUAACAGGCCGCAAGGUGCUGACGAGUGGCGAACGGGUGAGUAAUGCAUCGGAACGUGCCCAGUCGUGGGGGAUAACUACUCGAAAGAGUAGCUAAUACCGCAUACGAUCUAUGGAUGAAAGCGGGGGACCGUAAGGCCUCGCGCGAUUGGAGCGGCCGAUGUCAGAUUAGGUAGUUGGUGGGGUAAAGGCUCACCAAGCCAACGAUCUGUAGCUGGUCUGAGAGGACGACCAGCCACACUGGGACUGAGCCACGGCCCAGACUCCUACGGGAGGCAGCAGUGGGGAAUUUUGGACAAUGGGCGCAAGCCUGAUCCAGCAAUGCCGCGUGCAGGAAGAAGGCCUUCGGGUUGUAAACUGCUUUUGUACGGAACGAAACGGCUCUGGUUAAUACCCGGGGCUAAUGACGGUACCGUAAGAAUAAGCACCGGCUAACUACGUG